rnacentral:rRNA from 1 species
GACGGAGGAUGCAAGCGUUAUCCGGAAUGAUUGGGCGUAAAGCGUUCGCAGGUGGCUGUUCAAGUCUGCUGUCAAAGACCGGGGCUUAACCCUGGAAAGGCAGUGGAAACUGGACGGCUGGAGUGCAGUAUGGGUAAAGGGAAUUCACAGUGUAGCGGUGAAAUGCGUAGAGAUUGGGGAGAACACCGGUGGCGAAAGCGCUCUGCUGGACUGGUACUGACACUGAGGGACGAAAGCUAGGGGAGCGAAAGGG